rnacentral:misc_RNA from 1 species
UCUAUGAGAAAGGUUUUCCUCCCGCCCCCGCAAGGGACAGCGGAGAGGGAACAAACACACUUAAAAAAGAUGUAAAAAGACUUCCUUGCCUCCUCUUCCUUUCCUUCCCAUUUUUCUUGAUUACAAAUAAGUUGGUUCAGGUGGAUAUACAUUUUAUCUGCCCCCGGCCAAUAAAUCGUAGUGAAUCAAAAAGGAUUUACUGAUAAUCAGGAAUAGGGCCUGUAGCUCAGUUGGUUAGAGCGCACGCCUGAUAAGCGUGAGGUCACUAGUUCAAUUCUAGUCAGGCCCAGGCAAAUCAGCAAGCUCAUUUCAAAUGUAAAAUGAGCUUUUCAUGAUCUUUGACAAGGAAGCGGCUUUGAGAGAAGAGCUGCCCUUUGGUGGAGCCGGGAGGCGUUGAAGCUGAAGGAAAGAGAAGGGGAAAGAGGUAAUAUGGUCAAGCAAAUAAGGGUCCAUGGAGGAUGCCUAGGAGCUACCAGACGAUGAAGGCCGUGGUAAGCUGCGAAAAGCUGUGGGGAGGAGCACACAUCCUGAGAUCCGCAGAUCGCCGAAUGGGGAAACCCGG